CAAUGCAUCUGAUUCCAAAAGCAGAACUUAUGAUGAGACUGUCUUGUUUAGGAUUGCAACUCAGUCAGGUGAAGACACCAAAGCCAAAUGGGCAGCCCAGCAGUCCCAUGUUCCAGUGAGCACCUGACCACCAUCAUGUAAGGAAAGAACAGCGGAUUCUGAAAAUGUGUGCUCAGGAAUGGCCUUUACCUCUGCUGUCCUCUUACUAUGGAUGGGACUGUUCACAUGAAUGGAGGCUGCAGGACUGGAUCCACGGUAACUGAUACAUCUUCUUGGAUUAAUGGAUCGUUAUACAGGAUACCCCUGCAGGCUAAGGUUCUGCUCCUUCCCUACUGGCAAGUUACAGCACGACGAAGGUAUGCAAGUGCCAAAAGCAUCUCUUCUAUCAUGAUUGGUGUCACCCAGCAAAGUGAUGAAAUACCAAGCAACCAUAUCAAGGCUCACUGCCAUCAAAAGCCUGUCGUGCUGACACUGAGAACUAAACAAUAAAACACAAACAUCAUUUCUAUUUCUUUGCACAGAAAGUGAAGUUUUCAUGUUUAUCUAAAGAACAAAAGGAUCCUGAUCCAUAACUAGAGCUGACAUUCAAAAGUACUGAAAUAAAAGUACCACCAAUGUGAAACA
rnacentral:lncRNA from 1 species